rnacentral:tRNA from 1 species
AGGGCCCAGGCAGCUCCGGCAGCGGCGGCACCGCUGGCUCCGGUUCGGGCGCCGGCAACUGAGCCAUGGCGGCGGGAUCGUAUCCCGCGAGCCCGCC